CCGAUUGUGAGGUUUAAUUCCGCCAAGAGAGCUUCCGAGUUGAAGUUCUUCUUGGAGGACCCUGAAAAUUUCGAGACACUUUCCAUCAUCUUUAACAAGUCUAGUAGAUUUUCCAGGCUCCAGGCUAUUCAGUGCGCGAUUGCUGGAAAGAAUGUGUAUAUCAGAUUUACCUGCAGCACGGGAGACGCCAUGGGGAUGAACAUGGUUUCAAAAGGAGUUCAGAAUGUUCUUGAUUUCCUUCAAAACGACUUUGAUGACAUGGAUGUUAUUGGCAUAUCUGGAAGUGUUUGAUAAAGACCUCUUGAAGACAGAUGACAAAAUGGGACAUGCACAACUCAGCCUUCAACCAUUUGUCUCUGCUACUAGACUCAGGCAGAUUCUGCAGAACUUCAAUGGCGAGACGGUGUUAAGGAAGGUUGUCCCAGAUAGUGACAACUGUUUGGUCAGAGAAAGCUCCAUCACUUGUGUCAAUGUUUGAUGCUGCAAAAUUAAGAAAGCUAAGACCAAGUUUCAAGCAGAACGAGGGCUCUGUUACUGCUGGCAAUGCUUCAAUCAUAAGGAUGGAAGGAGCAAUGUGCCAAGUACUCUCCUUACUCCACAUACUUUGAGGGCAGACUCAGCUCUGCCAUGCCCAACUCUGUGUACAACCAAAGUAACAACUCAGAAAAUGGAAACCAUUCGGUAGUUGGACAAACUGCAGAAU